UGGCAUAAGAAGCAAGUGCCAACGUGGUCCUUCAUCCUUUGGGCGGCCAUCUUGGGGAGGUUAUCUACUAAGGCAGGCUUAGGGCUUGGGGGAUUCUGAUGGAUGCUGGUUGUUUUCUGUGCCUUGGGGGUGUUGAGGACCAUGACUAUCUAUUUUUUGAUUGUUUGUUUGCUAAUAUGGUAUGGAUGGCAGUAAAGAGGUAUUGUGGUUUUGGGCAUACUUCCAAGACUCUUGAACCUGAGCUUCAGUGGGGUAUUCGCAAGUGUGUUGAUCAAUCUACGAGGUCUGCUAUUUACAUGCUUUGCCUCGCUUAGCCUUUCCAGUACGAUUCACAAGGGGUUUCGGGUUUGAAGAGAAAAUGCAUGCAAUGGUUAGAAGAGUGGCAGAGGCUCCCUUAUACUUCUCCUUACUUGGAUGCCUCCCAUUUGGAUCCCCGUACAGAUAUAUCCGAGAAGAGGAUUGUUGGAGUAUUUCAUGAGUUUCUCCACCUUACUAUACAAAAGAAAACUGGGCGGAAGAAUGUGAGCAACCUCCAUAAACCACUAGAUUUGCCCCAAAAAUUUACAAAGGUCUUUGAGCGCCACCCUGGCAUCUUCUACAUUUCUAAGUAGAGCGACACUCAGACAGUUGUUCUCAGGGAAGCCUAUGACCAUCAGCAACUCAUCCAAAAACACCCCCUUGUCGAUAUCAGAGCAAGGUAGUCAAAUAUGAUGCAAUAAGGGUUCCUUGAUAGUAGUAGGGGCCUAUACAAGAGAAGUGUAAGUGCAGGUUUAGAGGUCGGAUUAAAAAGUAUUUGUACUGAUGAUCUUAGUGACUAUGGUUACAAAUCUGAAGGACAGUCAGAGAGCCAUUUUCUUUCUGAAUACGAGUCAGAUGAAUAACAGGCUGAGUUUUGCUGAUUCUGCUGUGAUGUGAACCAGGAUAAUUUUCUUUUCCUCCCAAUGGGGAAAAAUUUACCAUGCAAGGAGUUUUUUACUCUUCUCCAGAGAACUAGGUGGAAAUGUAAACCACCCCUUACUGUUUGACUGCUGGGAAUAAUAUUGUCAAAGUAUGUCUUUAUAUUGCGGUAAAGUGGUAUUGUGGUUUUGGGCAUACUUCCAGGACUCUUGAACCUGAGCUUCAGUGGGGUAUUCGCAAGUGUGUGGAUCAAUCUAUGAGGUCUGCUAUCUACAUGCUUUGCCUUGCUGCUGCUAUCUAUCAUCUUUGGAGGGAGAGAAACUUCUGAAUUUUCCAGCAUGAGGGCAUGGAUACAAAUGCAGUCACUAAGAAAGUUUGGGAAGAAGUGAGAGCUUGUGCUUGUUCUUGGAGGAACCUGCCCAGAUCCACAAGGAAAUUAGAGCUCUGUUCCAAUUGGGAAAUCCCUGUGCGCGUGUCAGCAUGCCUAAUUUUAGCAGCUAGGAAAUCUUUUAGGUGGUAUUUUUACUGGUUUUGUAGGGCUGUUCUGGCCCUGCUUGUCGUUUGCAGUUUUCUUGGUUGUAUUUGCUUAAGGCUAUCCCCUUGCUCUGCUGGACACGUUCCUGGUAAUAGAAACUGCCAGAAAAUAAAUGCAAAAUUGAAUGAAUUCUUCUUGUGUCCAUCAAUAACCAGUGGACUAUAGCCGUAUGGAGUCGCGGACUAACCGAAACGACUUUUGUUGUUCAACAAGCAACACAAGCUAACAAGAAGCAAGAAAAUGGGACCUUGGAACAUAUAAGAGUUUCGAAUCGAAUUGCUUUAGUUCUAGGAACUCUGAUCCUUUGAUUUGGACCAUUGAUUCCCCUUUUCGGAGUGGGUACAUAGAAUUAGUGCAAAAGAAAAUUUGUGUUGGAGACUUCACAAUAUAUGAACAGACAAAAUUCAGUACUUUUAUUGAUGCAUAAAAAACAAAGACGAAAAAAACACAGAAAGGAAAAACUUAAAA